rnacentral:rRNA from 1 species
AACGCUAGCUACAGGCUUAACACAUGCAAGUCGAGGGGCAGCAUUUUAGUUUGCUUGCAAACUAAAGAUGGCGACCGGCGCACGGGUGAGUAACACGUAUCCAACCUGCCGAUAACUCGGGGAUAGCCUUUCGAAAGAAAGAUUAAUAUCCGAUAGCAUAUUGAGAUCGCAUGAUUUUGAUAUUAAAGAAUUUCGGUUAUCGAUGGGGAUGCGUUCCAUUAGUUUGUUGGCGGGGUAACGGCCCACCAAGACUACGAUGGAUAGGGGUUCUGAGAGGAAGGUCCCCCACAUUGGAACUGAGACACGGUCCAAACUCCUACGGGAGGCAGCAGUGAGGAAUAUUGGUCAAUGGACGAGAGUCUGAACCAGCCAAGUAGCGUGAAGGAUGACUGCCCUAUGGGUUGUAAACUUCUUUUAUAUGGGAAUAAAGUAUUCCACGUGUGGGAUUUUGUAUGUACCAUAUGAAUAAGGAUCGGCUAACUCCGUGCCAGCAGCCGCGGUAAUACGGAGGAUCCGAGCGUUAUCCGGAUUUAUUGGGUUUAAAGGGAGCGUAGGUGGAUUGUUAAGUCAGUUGUGAAAGUUUGCGGCUCAACCGUAAAAUUGCAGUUGAAACUGGCAGUCUUGAGUACAGUAGAGGUGGGCGGAAUUCGUGGUGUAGCGGUGAAAUGCUUAGAUAUCACGAAGAACUCCGAUUG